UACGUAGGGAGCAAGCGUUGUUCGGAUUUACUGGGCGUAAAGGGCGCGUAGGCGGCCUUCUAAGUCGAACGUGAAAUCCCCGGGCUCAACCCGGGAACUGCGUCCGAUACUGGAAGGCUUGAAUCCGGGAGAGGGAUGCGGAAUUCCAGGUGUAGCGGUGAAAUGCGUAGAUAUCUGGAGGAACACCGGUGGCGAAGGCGGCAUCCUGGACCGGCAUUGACGCUGAGGCGCGAAAGCCAGGGGAGCAAACGGG
rnacentral:rRNA from 1 species